rnacentral:rRNA from 1 species
UGGGGAAUCUUGCACAAUGGGGGCAACCCUGAUGCAGCGACGCCGCGUGAGCGAUGAAGCCCUUCGGGGUGUAAAGUUCUUUCGACAGGAACGAUAAUGGCGGUACCUGGAGAAGAAGCUGCGGCUAACUACGUGCCAGCAGCCGCGGUAAUACGUAGGCAGCGAGCGUUGUUCGGAGUUACUGGGCGUAAAGAGUGCGUAGGCGGCGAGCCAAGUUUGGUGUGAAAUCUCCCGGCUUAACCGGGAGGGUGCGCCGAAAACUGGUUGGCUGGAGUAUGGGAGAGGAAAGCGGAAUUCCUGGUGUAGCGGUGAAAUGCGUAGAUAUCAGGAGGAACACCUGCGGUGUAGACAGCUUUCUGGACCAAAACUGACGCUGAGGCACGAAAGCGUGGGUAGCAAACA